ensembl:lncRNA MIR4435-2HG MIR4435-2 host gene
GUACCAUGCACCUUUGAGGGACCAAGGACCCAAGACUUGAGGUAGACACUAUUCCCAGCUGGAUACUCUCAAUGUUGAGGAUAUAGAUGCACAAACCAAUGCAGGGAGGCCUCCAGGAGCCACUGGAGAAGAAAUCUUCAGAUCCUACCAGGCCCAUAGCUGUUGCCUUUGUGGGCUCCUGGGUUAAUUUCCACACAUCAGUGGCCCACCUUAUGAUAUCCUCCCUGCAUGCCACACUCCCGGCCAUGCUCUGUGGACAGCCAUUAUUUCCAGUAAUUGCUAAUGGGAGCCAGUCUCCAAAGAGUAAUGAAUCAGAGGUGUUCCUUGGAAUGUGUUACACUAGGACUUCGCCGAUCUCACAGGCUCCUUUCCAGAUGAGCUGACUGUAAUCUCUGGGAAGCUGGAUCUGGAGGAACAAUGGGAUGGGAUUUGCGGUGACCCUUCCUGCCCUUCUUGAGCAGCUUGUGAACCAGAAGAUGUGCCUGGAGAGAAAGCCUCAUUUGGGGAAGUGCAGUAGUCGAAGUUCUUUAUUUUGAAAAUGGAGAACAACCCUUCUCACAAUCCUGUCUCCCCUUCCCCCUUUCCAACUAGAAUAUCAGCUCCCCUGAACAUGAGUCAGUCACAUUUCAGGGAAAACUGGCUGAUGUUGAAGAAAUCACUUGAGGGCAAACUUUGUCCUUCAAGCUGUGGGUCUCUGAAGUGUAGAGCCAGCAGAUCCCCCAGUGUAGGGACUGGGCCUUCCUUGCCCAUUGAAUGCUUUCUAUACAUGAAGACUUGGAGCUCUUUACAGAUGACAGUAGCCAGUGAGGAAGAUAAAAGAAGAGAAAAGACCCAAAAUGCGGGUUUGCCACUCUUUUUUGCCAGCACCGUGGGGACAGUCACUCUGCCUUCUUUCCACCACCUCCAACUUCACACUCACACGCACACUCUGGUCCCACAGAGCCUGUUUGGUACUUGCCUGACAGCCCACCUUGAAACCAGAUGGUCAUGAACCUGUCACCAAGUCAUCUGAAGAUCUUCCACUGCAACCUGUAUGGCAUCUGCCACAGGGACCAUGGGACAUGAUUGAAGAACCACUCCAGUGCAGUUGAUGAAGGGGUGGGUCUGCACUGGAGUUAGGUGCACCAGGGCCUGGGCCAAGGGUGGGCUGGGUCCAUCUUGUGUGUGGUGGUCUUCUUCAGAGUAGCAGCUGAUUCAGAGGGAUUCCAUAGAACUGCACAGGCUAGGUCUAGUCAGAUAUCUUGGACAUUUUCUAUUUCUAGAUUAGAGAAUAUAGCAUACGCUGAUUUUAAUAUAACUGUGUAUGUGACUUUUUCAGUGAGAAAAAUUUUAAGUGAUGUUCUAAACAAUUUUUGGCAUGUAGACAGAAUAGUCAAAUAUCUGUUUAACUAGCAACAUAGUUACUCGUGCAUAUUUAAAAUACUACAUGAGUAUGGCCUGGCACAGUGGCUCAUGCCUGUAAUCCUAGCACUCUGGGAGGCCGAGGUGAGCAUAUUGCCUGAGUUCAGUUUGAGACCACUUUGGACAACAUGGUGAAACCCUGACUCUAUAAAAAUACAAAAAUGUAGCCAGGUGUGGUGGUGCGUGCCUGUAGUCCCGGCUACUUGGGAAGCUGAGGUGCAAGAAUUGCCUGAACCUGAGAGGCAGAGGUUGCAGUGACCUGAGAUUGUGUCACUGCACUCCAGCCUAGGUGACAGAGCAAGACUACAUCUCAAAAAAUAAAACAAAAUAAAAUAGGCCCUGUGCCGUGGCUCACGCCUGUAAUUCCAGCAUUUUGGGCAGCUGAGGCGGGCAGACCACCUGAGGUCAGGAGUUCAAGACCAGCCUGACCGACAUGGUGAAACCCCAUCUAUACUAAAUACAAAAAAUUAGCCAGGUAUGGUGAUGCAUGCCUGUAGUCCAAGCUACUUGGGAGGCUGAGGCAGGAGAGAAUGGCUUCAACCUGGGAGGCAGAGGUUGCAGUGAGCCGAGAUUGCGCCACUGCACUCCAGCCUGGGUGAUAGAGCAAGACUUCGUCUCAAACAAUAAAAUAAUAAAAUAAAAU